UACGGAAGGUCCGGGCGUUAUCCGGAUUUAUUGGGUUUAAAGGGAGCGUAGGCCGUUUGGUAAGCGUGUUGUGAAAUGUCGGGGCUCAACCUGGGCAUUGCAGCGCGAACUGUCAGACUUGAGUGCGCAGGAAGUAGGCGGAAUUCGUCGUGUAGCGGUGAAAUGCUUAGAUAUGACGAAGAACUCCGAUUGCGAAGGCAGCCUGCUGUAGCGCAACUGACGCUGAAGCGCGAAAGAGGGGGGAGCGAACAGGAGGAGAGACCCCGGGAGGCCGGCUGACGGACU
rnacentral:rRNA from 1 species